GCGCCCACUUUGGCACCAUAUGUACUAAAUUUGGAACAUUACCAAAAACGAUUAGCAUGGCCCCCUGCACAAGGACGACACACAAAUUCUGAAGCGUUCCCUAGUUUU